UCUCCCUCAUUAGCAUCUCCAUAUACCUCCGAUGAAACCGUUGGCUUUCAUUCUCCACCUCUCGGAGCUUUUUUCUCAGGACCUCGGAUUCUACCUCUGCGUCCUUGACCGCCUGCUGCUCGUAUACCAGCUAGAUCUUCAACUGCUGCAGCUCGGCCUUCCCCUCCCCAAGGGCGACGGAUAGCUCUUCUAUAGUUCCUCUCUGGGAUUGGAGUUCGUCGGGGUCCCGAACAGGGACGAACUGGGCUCCUUCAGAUAACUGCCUUUGAAGGCGGGCAAUCUCAUCGGUCGCCAUCCUGAGCUUCCUCCUGUAGUCGUCCACCUGCUUGCACUAGCCAGUCCGGUAUGCAUUAUAGUUCGCCUCGACA
rnacentral:lncRNA from 1 species